AUGGAUGAUGGUCGACGCCACUACAAUCUUACUUUUGGAUGCUGUCUAUUGGAUACAUGGCUGAUGAUCUUACUAGAAGACUUGUUGAUUCUGGUGGUGCUGCUCCUGCUACUUAUCUUGGAAGCCCGAUGCCAGGAUGAGUGUGGUGUGCUGUGUUCUGCAAGUGUUUUUGGGUCAAGAAUAGCUCAUGGAAUCUGGUGUACUGAGUACAAGAGGUCCAGGUUUUUAGGAACCGCAGGAGUGCUUAUGGUGGAGGGCUUUCUGGAACUGCUUUUAGAGAGAGGAUUAUUCGUGCUUUCUUGGUCAAAGAGCAGAAGAUUGCCAAGAAGGUCCUGA
rnacentral:rRNA from 1 species